rnacentral:rRNA from 1 species
UACAGAGGUCUCAAGCGUUGUUCGGAUUCAUUGGGCGUAAAGGGUGUGUAGGUGGCGCCGUAAGUCGGGUGUGAAAUUUCGGAGCUUAACUCCGAAACUGCAUUCGAUACUGCGGUGCUUGAGGACUGGAGAGGAGACUGGAAUUCAUGGUGUAGCAGUGAAAUGCGUAGAGAUCAUGAGGAAGACCAGUGGCGAAGGCGAGUUCCUGGACAGUUGCUGACACUGAGGCACGAAGGCUAGGGGAGCAAACGGG